CACACUGGGAGAAUCUGUAAAUAUCACCCCCUAAAGGAGAUGCUUCUGGUGAUCUUGGGCCCUGAAUUCUCGGCUUGAUUAUUGGGACUUCUGUCUGUUUGGCUUUUUAUAGAUUUUUCCCGCGGGUAACUUACAUUGGCUCCUCAAUUCGGCGAUGGAAGGGAAUUUGUCACAUGGACCUAUGGAUCCGGGUCUCACUCCCUAUGGAGGACUUGACUUGCAAGGAUCGACGAGAGCCCCCCAUCAAGGGCAACACCCACAUACAAUCCAGCAUCAGCAUCAGUUGUUCCCUUGUCAAGGUUCUUCUGUCCAUCCCUCGAUUCACGAAGGGUUUCCGCUCACUAUGGGAGCACCACAUGCUUCUGAUCAAUCUGUUUCAGUGACAGAUUUUAGCAUGGGGGAGGGGGGGAAAAAUUCAGUAAGCGACGAAGAUGACCCAAGUUUUACUGAAGAGGGCGCUGAUGAUCAACAUGAUGCAUAUAGAGGGAAGAAGGGAUGGCCAUGGCAGCGUGUGAAGUGGACAGAUAAGAUGGUGAGGCUUCUAAUAAAUGCUGUCUCUUAUGUAGGCGAGGAUGUGGCUUCAGAUUCCAGUGCUGGGCUUAGAAGGAAAUUUUCAUUUGUACAGAAAAGAGGUAAGUGGAAAGCAAUCUCAAAGGUCAUGACUGAAAGGGGUUUUAAGGUUUCGCCUCAGCAGUGUGAGGAUAAGUUCAAUGACCUUAACAAAAGAUAUAAGAAGCUCAAUGAGAUGCUUGGGAGAGGCACUUCUUGUGAGGUGGUUGAGAACCCCGCACUUUUGGAUGUAAUAAGUUUCCUAACAGAGAAACAAAAGGAUAAUGUCAGGAAAAUAUUAAGCUCAAAACAAUUGUUCUAUGAAGAGAUGUGUUCUUUCCAUAAUGCGAACCGAUUGCAUUUGCCUCAUGAUCCAGCAUUACAGCGUUCAUUACAGUUGGCUCUUGGAAUUAGAGAUGAUCGUGAUGAUCAUGAAAAAGGUAACCAGCAUGAUGAUCCAGAAGAAGCUGAUCAAGAUGUAGAUACCGAUGAUCGUGACGAGUAUGGGAAGAAUCAUGAUUCACAUGUGGAUACCAGGGGACUAUAUGGGGUGUUAGGGAGCUCUGGAAAGCGAAUGAGACCAGACCAGGGCCAAGAUGAUGUUUGUUUUGUGAAUUCUUUGGAUUUACCGGAUUGCGACGAUGGUUCUUAUUCUCAUCCACGGGUUGCACAAACUUACAUCAAUAAGGCCUUACCUGAAAGCGGCAGCAGCAGAAUAGCUUUGUUAGGGAAGCAUUGUGUCGAAGCUCGCACACUUCAGUUAGAAGAAAAGAAGCUACAAAUGCAAGCUGACAUGAUGGAAUUGGAGAAAGAGAGAUUCAAGUGGGAAAGGUGUAGCAAGAAAAAGGACCUUGAAUUAGAAAAGCUGAGGAUUGAAAAUGAGCGGAUGAAGCUUGAGAAUGAACGUAUGACAUUAGAGUUGAAGCGCAAAGAAAUGGAAGCUGGCUUAAACUAAUGCUGGUUUCUUUGAAUUUGCUUCUUCAUAACUUCCUGUCUUGGGGUGAUUUGGAUAUUGCAAGGGACAAAGUUGCUCUGGACCUCAUGGUUUACAGUGGGCCCGAGUGACUACUAAUGAUGCUGUUCAAAAAACUAUCCGGUGCAUUGUACAGACAAGUAGGUUUAUAAUUUUGAGAGCUGUGGUAUAGAUCAGAAGCGGAUAUGUUGAAGGUUAGCUUUUACUUUCUUGUUUUCAGUAUUCUCUAGUUUUUACGUAAAGCUUUGUGUUUGACAUGUUAUUGAUGCUCGAGGAACUUUCAGCUAUGAAAGAUAUUGUAAUUUUGUAUGUUUCUCUUAUUUUCUUAAGAUGUCAAACAAUUAGCAUCCACUAUAUGGGAAGGCACACGAAAAUGUGGUUUAAAGGCUACUGAAAAUUGGGAAGGCACACUAUACUGAAGAGCAAGUGAUUAUUUGGAGCAUGAUUAUUUUAAUGAACUAUUGCAAUGGAACUAACUGGUAUUUUCAUGCAAAUGUGUCUUCAAUUUGACUUGGACAUUCUAUAUUUAAAUUCUUUGUAUGUACUCUUUCUGGUGAAUAAAGGUGAAUUAAUAUGGUCAUGAUGUUGCGAUGAAUUAUAUUUAUCACAUGAUAUGAAGUUGAGACUGAUUCAAAAUUGAAACAUUACUCAAUGUUGUCAAAGGCCAGCCUGAGGCGCAGACAGAGUGAACUGCGACCCUAAAGGCACAGUGCCUUCGCCGACGCUUGUGCCUCAAUGCUUGAAGCCUCUCCUCUGGCCCAUGCCUCAAUGGUUUUCUUACUUGUGACGCUGUUUUGGCCUUUUUUUUAUUUAUCUUCUAGUUGAUUUUCUUAAGACUGCAGUUGCACUAGGCCAUAGAUUCAAAACAUAACUGAUUUAGUUGCACUGGGCCCAUGUAAUCAUAAAAAAACAUGAGUGAUUUAAAACAAAAACAUGUAGAUAACUGAGGAGCACCAGUCAAAGUGGUCAUGCUCCUCACCACCUGCGCCUAGGGGCACAGGUUCCAUCCCCAUCCCCAUCAACAAGUGAAAAAACAUAUGGAAAACUAGAUGAGGCUGAACAGAACCUUGUCAAGAGGAGAAAUUAAAGCCAAAAAAAAAGUGAGAGAAGGGAAGACAUAAGUGUGAGCUUUGUUGUAUUACUAGGACUGGCCUACUUUCGUACUUUUCUUGUGAUUGUUUUAUUUUACUCGUUAUCUUUGCCUAGUUAGUGCCUCGUGGCCCUCCCCUCAAUCAGGCAUGUGCCUGAGGUGCACUUUGGGCUUUUGACAGCUCUUGCAUUACUGCUAAGCAUUUCCUUCUAGGCUUCUACAUGAAUGUUGAGAGCUGCAGUGGAUGGCGUUGUAGAUGCAUGAACUUCGAAGAAAAAUUCCCGUGCAUUUGAUAUCUUGCAAGUUUUGGAAGAAACCAAUGUUUCAAACAUCUGAAAAGGGAAAUUCAGAAGAAUUUAGGAUUGAUAUAAGUUAGCGAGUUCCUGCAGGUAAACCAGAGUAUGGUUCCUACUUUUGCAUGAUAACUGCAAAUUGUUCAUAUGUUUUAUUAUACAUUUCUCUUGCAGGGCAAAAUGAUAAUCAUCCCUGCUUUCAUCAUCACCUUUCUCCCAAACCAUGUUGGGGUCAUAUGUGAAUCCAUAUCAGAAAUUAUUGAGAAUCGUUUAGACGAAUUUGUCUUCUCCUUUCAUUCCUUUCAAAGGCUAUACUCUUGUGUAGUCCUAUAGAGUCCAAGCAUUUUCUUAUAACUUCCAUCCAUGUCUUUGUUGCUCUCCCUUUUCUCUUUAUAAUCUGUAUGAAUUUUUUUUUUUGCUCUAGGAACUAUAGCAUUGAUCUCUCUAUUUGUUCUUCCGAUUUUCCCAUGUCUUAUUUUUAAUUGUUGCUACUCCCAUAUGACAUUUAAUAGUCUCCUUUUUUAUCCUAUCCUCCCUUGUUUUGCUGCACAUCCAACGCAACAUUCUAAUUUCUACCACACUCAUUCUUCCGGCAUGUUGUCAAUAAAAGGUGUUGAAGUUAUGCAUUUCAUUAUCUGUCCUCCGGUGAUUUUUAUCUUCCAAAAUUAACUUUGAAAUACUUUUAAGUUGGCCUUCCUUUGAUGGGUGGUACAUCUUUCUUCACAUCAUGAUAUGAAGGUCAGUUCAUUGCUCAUGGCAAGGCUGAAGACCCUCUACUCCUCUAGUGUAUGUUGAUAAUGGGUUGACCAUGGAGACAGAUAAAAGUGUCAUUGAUGGAGAAUGAUUAUUGUUGCCAAUAUAUUGCAGUUACCAAUGGGUAGAUUGAAAAUGAUAUAAGAAGCUCUCAUGGUGGGAUUGCGGAGGAGAAUUAGAUAGGGAUGAAGUGAUUGGUCUAUCUAUGUUGAAUUUGUGGUGGGAAAUGGAAAAUUUGGUUAAGUUUUGGCAUGAUGUGUUGUGGAACGUGACCCCUCAAAAGCACUUAUCUUCCCCUUUUUGAUUUGGCUAAAAAGGAGGAGCAACAGUGGAAGAAAACUUUUUUUCCUAAUUGGAGUAGCAAGUUGAAUGAUUUGAGUUAAUAGAGAAGCUAUGGAAUGGGAGGUAAAUCACUUCUUGGAUUUAAUGAGAAGAUUUAUGAGUCCCCUCAGUGACCGAUUGACCAAGAAGAAGAGAAUGCUUGAAGAAGAUCAAGCCUGUUUGUAAUGGUAAUAGAGACUGCAUUUUCAAAGUUAAAAGACCACAAUGCCAUCCUUUGCCAAAAAAGAGUGUUUAUUAGAGGCAAAGAUAAUUUUCGUUGGAAAGCUAUUCAAAGCUGAAAGCUCUUAUGACCAUGGAAUUUUUUUCUUUGGCAGGCCAGAGGUAAAAGAUUCUUACUAUAGACACACUGCGAAGGAGAGGUAUUGUCAUGAAUAAUAGAUGAUCCUUUUUGAGGUUGAAGUGUUGAACAAGAAACAGUGAAUCACCUCCUGCUCCGUUUCUUGUGGACGUGAAAGCUUUGGUAGCUAGUACAUCAUAUUACGGGUUAUUCUUGGGUUGCUAAUGGAUCAAUAUAACAAGAUGUAGAGGCGUGGAAUUAGAUUUAUGAAGGAAUGAGACUGGAAUGGUAGCUUGUCUUCCAUCCUUUGGUCAUUUGUUGGUGUUUAUGGAGGGAGAGAAAUAAGAGUGCCUUUGAAGGAGUGGAAUUAUCCAUUGACAAUUAUUUUAGUUCUUGACAAUCUUUUAUGUAGGGACUGGAUAGCUGGAUGGUGGUUGCUUCAUAAGUGCUGCUCUCUCUUUGCAUCAAAUAGUCACCCAGGACAGGCCGCCCAGUUCUUUUUGAUAUAAUCUGCAACCAGUUGUUAUAUGGUCUUUCUGUGUGAUAAGGUUUGCAUUACCAUUAAUCUAUACGCAUUCACAUAUAGAUUUGUGCUUAUAUCUAUACCAUAUAUUAUGAACAAAGAGGACUAAUUGUCCUUAACGAUAUGCUCACAAUUCUUUUUUCUUACUGUCACUGUGCCACUAUUAUCAGAAAUACAUUGCUGUCCCUUCAAUGGCAGGUUUCCUUGUUCAUCAGAUAAAUGCUGCCUAGCAAGGACUUGAUUUUGCUCGACAUUCUGCUGUGUAAACAACGGGCAGCCAUUGGGGACUUGAAUGGAACCAAUUCUCGUUUAGUAUGCCGCAUCACAGGGGCAAGGAGGGAGAAAGGGUUUGUCUUACAGCACGGCCUGUCGAAAGGGAAACAGAAACUACUUCUCUAAUUGGUUACUGCAACUGCGUGGAGCUCUUAAUUCUUCUUUCAUUGAUCUCUGCACAUACAUGACCGGUAAUUAGUAUAAGGUUUUAUGGAGAAGAUGCGGAGGAGGAUUUAUAGCCAUACUUGCAAAGAUCAUUAUUGAAUUCUGUCGUAUCGUUCGACUAAUCGGCAGUUUCUUUUCUUUUUCCCUCUCCCUUUUACCAUUCAACAAGCUUCAAGAAAAUCAGUGGAUUAUGAUGAUAAAAGAGAACUAAGAGUCUAAAACAAUUGUGUGCUGUUGUUUUGAAGAUUUUACGGAGGCGAUACGUUGCAUGGAA